rnacentral:lncRNA from 1 species
AAUAAAUAUAAAAUCUGGGUCUUGGUUUUUGAUUUAGUAGUGUGAAAAAAUAACUACAUUCUAAUGAAAAUCAAGUUUGAUAUGUUGGUUUUAAAAGUAGUAUUGGGGAGUUGUUGGGGUUUUUUUGUUUUGCAUCAAUAGCACUGGUUACUUUGAACAAAUAAAAGCUUUCUGUAGUUGCUUUCUUUAUCAGAAAAGAGCAUUUGAUAUGAUGGUAUAUUUCCUCUGCUUUUCUAAAAGUUGGGGAAAUUUCUGUAGUUAUUACUCAGAACUUGUUUUUUAACUCAUAUGCCUAAGGACCAUUCUGGGGUUUUUGUUUAUUUGUGUGUGUGUGUGUGUGCAUGUGUAGAUAAAAUGCUUACAUAAUGAUUUUGGUUUUUUAAACAUUCACCAACACAAAAACAAUGGGUAGUAAACCCAUGUUCCUGAGAUGCCAUCAUCCUCUGCAACCUAAGAAAUGUCACUUCAAGUUAAAUUGAAAUUUUCCCUAAACUUAACCUUUCAGAUUAAAUAAGUGAUUCUGUAGUUAAUUGGACACUUUAAAUUAUAUAAUUAAAAGCACAUUAAAUUUACAUCUGUUGUCACAUAAACGCAACAGUUUUAUUUGCAAAAUUCCUGAAAGGAAAAAUACUAUCACUAUACAACUUCUGUAACCGGGCAAGUAAAUUAG